CUCUGCUGGACUGGAGAGUCCAAACUGCAGACUGGAAACUCUCAGCUUGUCAGGCUGUCUGGUCUCAGAGGAAGGCUGUGCUUCUCUGGUAUCAGCUCUGACCUCCAACCCCUCGCAUCUGAAAGAGUUGGACCUGAGCUACAAUCAUCCAGGAGACUCAGGAGUGAAGCUGCUGUCAUCUGGA